UCAGGAUGGACGCUAGCUACAGGCUUAACACAUGCAAGUCGAGGGGCAUCAUGGAGUUUGCUUGCAAACUCUGAUGGCGACCGGCGCACGGGUGAGUAACGCGUAUCCAACCUUCCCUAUAGUAGAGGAUAGCCCGGCGAAAGUCGGAUUAAUACUCUAUGUUUUCCGUUGCAGACAUCUAAGAUGGAACAAAGGCUUGCCGCUAUAGGAUGGGGAUGCGUCUGAUUAGGUAGUCGGCGGGGUAACGGCCCACCGAGCCUUCGAUCAGUAGGGGUUCUGAGAGGAAGGUCCCCCACAUUGGAACUGAGACACGGUCCAAACUCCUACGGGAGGCAGCAGUGAGGAAUAUUGGUCAAUGGGCGCGAGCCUGAACCAGCCAAGUAGCGUGCAAGGAUGACGGCCCUAUGGGUUGUAAACUGCUUUUAUGCGGGGAUAAAGUUCACUACGUGUAGUGUUUUGUAGGUACCGCAUGAAUAAGGACCGGCUAAUUCCGUGCCAGCAGCAGC
rnacentral:rRNA from 1 species